UCCAAGAAACGUGCCUGUCAGUUUGCUCGCGUACAGCUUGGCUCUUUAAAUAAUCGACAAAGAUCUAUCGUAAAGAGCUGCAAUCCCGUAGAAGCCAGUAGACCUAGUAGAGUUGGUUCUAAAGGAAUGUUUUAAUUAAGGGAAUUCGUCAAAGCCUGUUUUGUGGUCAAGUUGAAGCUCAAUAUAGAUAGGCAAUUCCGAUCCUGGUACUAAAAGUAUUGGUGAGUUCUGUGAAUAUAAAACCAUCCAAAAAAACAAGAGUCAUCAUUUGCUUGGAAACUCAAUAUGUCAAGACCAGUAACAUUUCAUGUUACCAUCAAGUUGUUUCUUCUCCUAGUCAGUAGCGUGACACUAUCAAAUGGCAAAACAGGCCUCAGUUUAAACAAUUGUUCCUGUUUUAUGUCUGGACAAUACUACAAUCUCAAGUCACUAGCACGUCUGCACGGUGGGCCAAGAUUUCAGAGUGAAAAGAAUAACUGGAAUUAUGCUUAUAAUCCAUGCAUACCAUUCUCCAUUGAACCUCCCUGUGAAGACGUGGCGGUAAAGUUAAAACUACAUUCGCUUUUCCGAACUUCAGGAAGUCUGGUAACGAUCUUGUAAUGUAUGGGACCGUGGAGCUGAAUUUUGAGACCCAAAAUGGGGGAGUAUAUGAGUACUAAUUCCA